rnacentral:rRNA from 1 species
UGCCAGCCGCCGCGGUAAUACAGAGGGAGCAAGCGUUGUUCGGAAUUACUGGGCGUAAAGGGCGCGUAGGCGGCCCAGCAAGUCUUAUGUGAAAUCCCCCGGCUCAACUGGGGAACUGCAUAGGAAACUGCUGGGCUUGAGUUCGGGAGAGGGAAGCGGAAUUCCGGGUGUAGCGGUGAAAUGCGUAGAUAUCCGGAGGAACACCGGUGGCGAAGGCGGUCUUCUAGCUUAUUCCUGACACUGAGGCGCGAAAGCAAGGGGAGCAAACAGGAUUAGAUA